AUGACCGAGGAAGAACUGGGCCAGUAUGCUGAGAAGUUUCAGAAGUCUGGCUUCACCGGACCCCUCAACUACUACCGCAACAUGGACACGAACUGGAGGCUUACUGCACCCUGGCACGCUGCAAAGAUCACAGUGCCUGCAAAGUUCAUCGGGGGUGAGAAGGACAUCGGUGUCGAGUCCUUCGGAGUCAAGCGCUACAUCGAGAGCGGGGGUUUCAAGUCCAAUGUUCCUGACCUUGAGGUUUCCAUCAUUGAAGGCCACCAUUUCCUCCAGCAAGAGCAGGCCGAGAGGGUGAACUCUGAGAUACUGUCCUUCCUGGACAAGCUUUCUGGCAAGGAAGCACAUAAUUAA
rnacentral:rRNA from 1 species